ACACACACUACAGUGUAUCUACACACCACACACUAAACUGUAUCUACACUACACACAGUACACUGUAUUUAUACUACAAAGUAUCUACACUACAUACAUAGACUACACUUUAUUCACUCUACACUGUAUCUACACUACACUGUGUUUACACUACAGUGUAUCUACACUACACUUUACAUACACUACGCUGUGUUUACACUGUGUUUUCUCUACAUUACACUCUACACUACAAUGUAUCUACACUGCACUGUUUACUCUAUACUGUAUCUACACUACACUGUGUUUACACUACAGUGUAUCUACACUACACUUUACAUACACUACGCUGUGUUUACACUGUGUUUUCUCUACAUUACACUCUACACUACAAUGUAUCUACACUGCACUGUUUACACUUAUACUGUAUCUACACUACACUGUGUUUACACUACAGUGUAACUACACUACACUUUACAUACACUCUGCUAUGUUUACACUGUGUUUUCUCUACAUUACACUCUACACUACAAUGUAUCUACCCUACACUGCAUUUACACUAAAAUGUAUUUACACUACACUUUACAUACACUAGACUUUAUUUAGACUACACUGUGUUACUACAUUUUACUUACACUACACUUUACAUACACUACACUGUUUACACACCACUGUAUCACUACAUGGAAUGAUGGAAAGAGAAUGCGAUCGCUUACAAUAAAAUCAACACAAAGGAAAAAGAUGUUUUACAUAGACUACACUGUAUUUACACAACAUUACACAACAGUGAACUUGGACUACACAGCACUUUACAUAGACUACACUGUAUUUGCACAACAGUGUACUUGGACUACACAACACUUUACAUAGACUACACUGUAUUUACACGACACACCAGUGUGCUUAGACUCGACUACACAACAGUGUACAUGUACUACACACCACUACAUAGACUAUACUGUAUUUACACAACAGUGUACUUGGACUACACAACACUUUACAUAGACUACAUUGUAUUUACACGACACACCAGUGUGCUUAGACUCAAAUGUGUACUUGGACUACACAUCAUUUACAUAGACUACACUGUAUUUACAAUACACAACAGUGUACUUGGACUACACAACAUAGACUGCAUGACAUGCUACUUGGACUACACUGUAUUUACACAACAGUGUAUGGGGACUACACUACACAACACAACAGUGUACGGGGACUACACUACAUAGACUACACUGUAUUUCCACUACACUACAGUGUACUUGGACUACACAACAUAGACAAUUAGACAACAUAGACUGCAUAACACUCUACUUGGACUACAAUGUAUUUACACUACACAGCAUAACAUUUAUACUACACAGGAAGCCACUUUAUACCUAAAUUACUGUAGCACCACAACACUUCUGUAACAAUACAAUUACACUACACGAGUCCACCACGGUUACUUAAGCCAAGCUUCGUUUAACUUCUGAGCUGUCAUGUCGUCCGUGUUGGGAUUGUUGACUUUGCUGCAUUAUUUAGCAAAAGUGGAUAUUUUACCUAAACUGCAUGAAUAGUAGGACUGACGGUUAACAUUUCGGUUCUGCAGCUUCACCUGUUGACUCCAUGCAACAUGUUACACACGUUUUGUCUCGCGUGUUUUGUGGACUAGUUUGGCUCCUGUAGUGUUAUUAGAAUAAAAACAGAAACAUGCUUCACUGGCUUCUUGCAAUUGUCAGUGUGUUCUUGCUGCAGAACACACUUCAGUCGAGUGUGUUUCAGACGAGGUGAGACUUGCCGGGUUGAAAGUGUGUCGGCGGUGCAGGGAGGUUUGGCUGCACCUGCCAUGUGGUAGCUUAGAGUGUAGUAUAAUUACCCUUCAGUACACAACAUGCAGUGUCUCUGCCCUGUGCUCGUGUGACUCUUUCACUGACGUGUCUUGAAAAAACGAUGGAAAGAGAAUGCGAUCGCUUACAAUAAAAUCAACACAAAGGAAAAAGAUGUUUCAUCUUAUCCUCUACUUAUUCUAAUGUGCCUAAGUGAUUGCUCUGCUGUUGUGUAUGUUUAAUCGGGUCAGACCUAAACCAGAGAACACCGAUGUGCUUUCGACUUGUUUUCAAUUUAAACCCAAGAAUUUAUCGGAAUAUAGAUCAGAGUAAAUAAUAGAAAUCAGGAAACAUCUUGUGCAUGCUGAGAAUUAAAACGAGACCCAUGGACAAACUCCAGGCUGCUAUAAUGAAGCAAGUGCACAUCAUUCAUGCUAAAAUAAAAAAAACAAACACUCUGUGGCCAAUCACUCUGUGUCUAAUAAUUGAGCAUAGGGGUGUGUAUACUGUGUGUAUGUUGCCGAGAUUCUGAAGUUAUCCACCUGUUACGAGGAUGAAGGGUGCUGAACAGUAGAGGAAGACAACAUUAAUAUUUUUUUUAUUUGCUUUUUUUUAUGAAGUAAUUCUUUAGAAAUGAGCCUCUGCUUUAUUAGUCUGUGUGAAGCGUGUUGCUUUCUCCUCGGUCUGCGCAAUAACUCUGUGCAGUCUUUUAGGAGAGAAUUGUAUUACGGAUACAUGACCGUGAUUUGAUUUUCAGUGUAUUUUUCCCGAGCAUUUUGGUUACGUUUUGUGAUGCUAGUUGGUCUUAAAGCUGCAUUGCUUCUGCUUUUGUUGUAUUCAUUGUUUUUCAUGUAUUGAUGCAUAUUAAUGACAAAGUCACACUGUUUUAUGCUGUAGUUCUUUUUCCCCCAUCUUUGUUUUUGUGGUUCAUCUAAUAUGAGAUGCAUGUGGGCUUUAUUUUUUUAUUUUUUUGUGAAUUUGUAUUUUGUCUUCUGGUAUAUUUUUAAAAGUGGGCUUGGUUAAGGAUCAGGGUUAUAACCCAGUAACUGUCUGUGUUAGUGUAAGCAGGUUCUUAUAGUGGAUCCACAUGUUGCUGGCUUUAAUUUGGAGUAUAGGGCUUUCUAUCUGCCUCGUUCAAUAGCUGACCUCAACUCGGAGGGCUUUGGGAUUAACCCCGUGAACCUGCAUCUGGCACAAAUGAACUGCAUGGAAAAUUUAUAUUUGGUGAAUUUUACUGUGUUUUCAGAAGACAAUCUUAAUUCCUAAGUGCUCAUCAGUAUCACAUGCUUUAGUUUUAGUAAAAGGCAAAAGCCACACCGUGGCCAUGCCACCUGAUUCCAGUAGAGGGUGGUGUGUGAGCUGUGUUUACUGUUGAUUUAAGUGAUUUGUAAGUUGAUUUGAAAGAUGGGAUGUGUCUAAUAACCGCAUCAUGUUCCGAGAGGAAAUCAGAUCAACAAGAGUCAUUUCAACCCAAUGGAAGGCUUGGGCUUUGUGAUGGAACGAAAACAUCCGAGGAGCUUGAAUUAUAUCAGUGUUCAGUCAGUGUAUGAGGGAUUACCAUAGCUGAACAUAUGAGGGGAAACCUCGUUCAGGAGACUGCCUCGGAAUUCCUUCGGCGGUCUGGUUGCUCUUAACACGGAGCACUGUUGCCAGAGUCAAAUGAGGUAAAGAAUUCAGAUCAGGUGGAGCCUAAACCCUAAACCUCAUGUGACUAAAACUUUUGCUAUGAAAGGAAGCUGUGUUGGAGUUGAAACGGCACAUGUGCAUAAGGACCGUACCCCAGAGAGCAGACGAAGCAUGUUAUUGGGGGGGGGAGUGUGUCGGGGUUGGGAGGAACGGCGCAUGAAUGUGAGCAAUGGUGUUGUUUUUUGAGCGAUUAAUCGUUUGUACGAAUCUCCCUGAACAGUCUAGCGGUGCUGGCAGGUGCUGCUGAGAAGUGCACUCCAAAUAAACCACACGUUUGCACCAUUUGCUGAUCAUGUCAAAAAAAGUUCUAGAUGCAAAUGCGCAAGCCUCGCUUCCCAUUUAGAUCCUAAAGGAACACUUCAUCCUUUCCCGUUCACGUAGGGAUGUGUUCAAACACAAGGCUUGAUGAGGGUAAUAGUCUGCAUUAACAGCUGGGCUCAGGGACUCCUGAAUGACUGGCUGAGAAUAUCGUGUUCUCUCUCUCUCUCUUCCUCCCUUCCCUAACUAUACUUGUGCCUCUAAGGUGAAUGCUGCAAUACACAACAAAGCACAUGCACUUGGGUAACAGUUUUGUGUUUUACCUAUGAAUGAUGU